rnacentral:rRNA from 1 species
UUUCUGCUCUAACAGAAAGCAUUUCCUGCUCCAUGCUAUUUAAUAGCCGCAGUCACCUGUGCUAAGGUAGCAUAAUCACUUGCCUUCUAAUUAAAGGAUCGUAUGAAAGGACAAAUGACUCUUCCACUCUAUCUAGCAUCCAUUAUAAAAUUCACUUAUAAGUAAAAAGGCUUAUAAGCAAAGGAAGGACGACAAGACCCUACAGAACUUCACUUAUUAGUUUAACUGGGGUGGUUAAUAACUAAAACUUACAUGAUUACUUUACCAGGACCUAAUAAUAUUAACAAUAGGAACAAGUUACCUUAGGGAUAACAGAGGAAUAUUCUUCCCAACAAUACUUAAUAGAAAGAUUCCUACCUCGAUGUUGAAUUAAUAUACCCUCAUAACAAAAUGUUAUUUAGGCUAGUCUGUUCGACUAUUAAAAUAUUACAUGAUCUGAGU